rnacentral:rRNA from 1 species
ACGGAAGGCAGCAGUGAGGAAUAUUGGUCAAUGGGCGGAAGCCUGAACCAGCCAAGUCGCGUGACGGAUGAAGGUAUUAUGUAUUGUAAACUUCUUUAGACGCAGAGAAAUAAGAGGGUCGUGACCCUUGAUGCUAGUAUGCGUAGAAUAAGGAUCGGCUAACUCCGUGCCAGCAGCCGCGGUAAUACGGAGGAUCCGAGCGUUAUCCGGAUUUAUUGGGUUUAAAGGGUGCGCAGGCGGUCUUUUAAGUCAGUGGUAAAAUCGUGGAGCUUAACUCCAUCCCGCCAUUGAUACUGGAGGACUUGAUUGCGGUUGAGGUUGGCGGAAUUCGCCGUGUAGCGGUGGAAUGCAUAGAUAUGGCGAAGAACUCCGAUUGCGUAGGCAGCUGACCAAGCCGUAAAUGACGCUCAUGCACGAAAGUGCGGGGAUCGAACAGGAUUAGAUACCCUGGUA